CAAGUGUGACAUCAGCGGUCAUGGAGAGUCUCCAUCCAGCUGGAUCACUGUCACAGGGGAACACACCACCACACCUACAUUCACAACUCCACCUACAUCCACACCUCCCCCUAUAUACACACUUCCACCUACAUCUGGACUUUCACUUACAUCGUCCUCUGCAUCAUUCGUUCCUGGUCUUCUUCCUGUCUUGCUGACUGUUGCAUCAGUCUGUGCUGCAAUGCUGAGAUGACACGGUUACAGUAAACUCAAAGAUAAACAAGAAGGAGCUGGAUGAGACAACAUCACCAGUGCCAUCAUGCAUUUUCACCGUCUAUGAGGACAUUUUUAUCAAUAACAUUAUUAUUACUGUU